GACCAGCUAUUGGCAUUCCGUUUCCUGUUGUCGUUUGUUUGUUCGGAGUUGGAUGUAAGACCAGCUAUUGGCAUUCCAUUUCCUGUUGUCGUUUGUUUGUUCGGAGUUUGAUGUAAGUCCAUUUAUUGGCAUUCGGUUUCCCAUUUGUUUGUUGUUUGUUCGGAGUCAGAUGUAAGACCAUUGAUUGGCAGUCUGUUUCCUGUUUG
rnacentral:lncRNA from 1 species